rnacentral:rRNA from 1 species
GAUGAACGCUGGCGGCGUGCCUAAUACAUGCAAGUAGAACGCUGAAGGAGGAGCUUGCUUCUCCGGAUGAGUUGCGAACGGGUGAGUAACGCGUAGGUAACCUGCCUGGUAGCGGGGGAUAACUAUUGGAAACGAUAGCUAAUACCGCAUAACAGUAGAUAUCGCAUGAUAUCUGCUUGAAAGGUGCAAUUGCAUCACUACCAGAUGGACCUGCGUUGUAUUAGCUAGUUGGUGAGGUAACGGCUCACCAAGGCGACGAUACAUAGCCGACCUGAGAGGGUGAUCGGCCACACUGGGACUGGGACACGGCCCAGGCUCCUUAGGGAGGCAGCAGUAGGGGAUCUUCGGCAAUGGAGGGAAGUCUGGCCGGGCAACGCCGCGGGAGUGGAGAAGGUUCUCGGAUCGGAAAGAUCUGUUGUAAGGGAAGAACGAGUGUGAGAGUGGAAAGUUCACGCUGUGACGGUAUCUUACCAGAAAGGGACGGCUAACUACGUG